ACGAACGCUGGCGGCGUGCUUAACACAUGCCAGUCGAGCGGAAAGGCCCUUUCGGGGGUACUCGAGCGGCGAACGGGUGAGUAACACGUGAGUAAUCUGCCCUUCACUUGGGGAUAACCUCCGGAAACGGUGGCUAAUACCCGAUACGACCAUUCCUCGCAUGAGGUGGUGGUGGAAAGUUUUUCGGUGGGGGAUGUGCUCGCGGCCUAUCAGCUUGUUGGUGGGGUAAUGGCCUACCAAGGCUUCGACGGGUAGCCGGCCUGAGAGGGUGACCGGCCACACUGGGACUGAGACACGGCCCAGACUCCUACGGGAGGCAGCAGUGGGGAAUAUUGGACAAUGGGCGGAAGCCUGAUCCAGCAACGCCGCGUGAGGGAUGACGGCCUUCGGGUUGUAAACCUCUUUCACCUGUGACGAAGCGAAAGUGACGGUAGCAGGAGAAGAAGCACCGGCCAACUACGUG
rnacentral:rRNA from 1 species